UGUCCAGUAGCACCUUAGAGACCAACUAAGUUUGUUCUGGGUAUAAGCUUUCAUUUGCAUACCCAGAACAAACUUAGUUGGUCUCUAAGGUGCUACUGGACA